AACACAUGCAAGUCGAGCGGUAGCACAGAGAGCUUGCUCUCGGGUGACGAGCGGCGGACGGGUGAGUAAUGUCUGGGAAACUGCCUGAUGGAGGGGGAUAACUACUGGAAACGGUAGCUAAUACCGCAUAAUGUCGCAAGACCAAAGUGGGGGACCUUCGGGCCUCAUGCCAUCAGAUGUGCCCAGAUGGGAUUAGCUUGUAGGUGGGGUAACGGCUCACCUAGGCGACGAUCCCUAGCUGGUCUGAGAGGAUGACCAGCCACACUGGAACUGAGACACGGUCCAGACUCCUACGGGAGGCAGCAGUGGGGAAUAUUGCACAAUGGGCGCAAGCCUGAUGCAGCCAUGCCGCGUGUGUGAAGAAGGCCUUCGGGUUGUAAAGCACUUUCAGCGGGGAGGAAGGCGGUGAGGUUAAUAACCUCAUCGAUUGACGUUACCCGCAGAAGAAGCACCGGCUAACUCCGUGCCAGCAGCCGCGGUAAUACGGAGGGUGCAAGCGUUAAUCGGAAUUACUGGGCGUAAAGCGCACGCAGGCGGUCUGUCAAGUCGGAUGUGAAAUCCCCGGGCUCAACCUGGGAACUGCAUUCGAAACUGGCAGGCUAGAGUCUUGUAGAGGGGGGU
rnacentral:rRNA from 1 species